UGUUGUCAUGUUUACAUUUUAUUUCUUUAGUUUUUAAAUAGAAUGUAAAUGGAAAAGUGGGGUGCAAUACAAGUCAUACAGGGCAGAGGUAGAUGUAGUGAUGGCAGAGCCUUGGAUCUAAACAACACUGGCUGGAGAAUAAAUUUGCCAGCAUCUUUUCACUCUGGCUCUGCAGCUGAAUUUUUUUGAGGGAGACAAAAGCCAUACAGCACCUGCAGCAGACUGCAAGGAGAAAGUAGAGAGGGGAAGGCAGUUUAUUGCUUAAUAGUGUAAUGUUUAUUGUUAUGCUGUAUAAUGUUAGCCUUAUGUUGUUUACUUACUAUGCAUAUUUGUAAAUACAGUAGUCUCGCUUAUCCAACCUUCGCUCAUCCAACACAGUCUGCCUCCCUCACAGAUCCACACCUGUUUCUCUAGGCAGCAACUCACAGCAGACCAACACACCCAACAACACAAGUCCACACUCCAAAACAAGUGGAAGACUUGUUGUAAAACAUGAUGUUUUGGUGUUUAAUUUGUAAAAUCAUAACCUAAUUUGAUGUUGGAUACGCUUUUCCUUAAUCUCUCCUUAUUAUCCAACAUAUUUGCUUAUCCAACAUUCUGCCAGCCCGUUUAUGUUGGAUAAGUGAGACUCUACUGUAUUUAAAAGAAUCUCAAGACUGACAUAGGAAUGAGAUUUAGGAGGCUCCAGGGACUCCCUUCCAGAUACCCUUUGGUAUUUUGUCCCCAAAGCAGAACACGAAAGAAGGGAAGAACCCAAUGGAUUAAUUUCCUGGGAGGAAUCAGGGCCUCCUUGGUAGCCACUGGUCUGUGAAGGAAAUAAGAGAGGCCUCCAAAGCCAGAGGAAGAAACCCUUUCAUCUCAGAAAAUCCAAUAGUUUGUAUGUCUGGGGAGCUACAGAAGGUCCUUUGGAUCCUAUUAGGUUCAGCCCCAUCAUCUUGUGGCUCUGCCUGCCCUACAAGGAGGAGAAGUGGGAUCAGGAGAGCAUGUGGCAACUCUGCCUGCUGGGUCCCUCCUAAGGGAAGCUCCAGGAUGGUUUUCUUUUGAAAAGGUUCUAUUUGUGCUCCAGGUUCUAGGCCUGGAGGUGUUUACCUGGUCACCAAGGAGACCAAGUGGUUCCAAGAAGAACACAAGUCUUUGUGGCAGUUGGUGCCAGGCAUUACUCUCCUGGGCUCAAGUCUUCCUGGAUUCAUUCAUGGGCAGAAGAGCUUUGUGGUAGAUCCAACUGAUCCCCCCUCCCCAUUCCCUCUCUGGCUUGGGCUCCUCAGCACAUCCUCCUCGAGAUGGCCCUGACAAGGAGGUUCAGGGAAUAUAGAGACUCUGAAUAAUUUUGGAAAGGGUUUAGAAGAAUUUAUCAGUCCAUGAUCUGCUGAAUAAAUUUUUGCCUUUGACUGCAAACAGGGCUAUAAAGAUGUAGAGACACUUGGUUUUGCUUUAUGGAGAUAAAAGAAAAAGAAAUAGCAGAGAUAACGAUGAACACAAGAGUAAAAGACAAAUCUAGACUCCAGAAGAGGAUCUAUAGAACUUCAAAGGAAGGCACUGGAAGCUUUACAAAAAAAUGGAAAAAAAAUUGGAAUACAAGGGAUCAAAAGAAAAUUGAAAUCAAAUCAAGAAUCCAUGUUAUUGUUUUUGAAUACCAUGAAGAAGUGAAAUAAAAAUUUAGAGAUGUGAAACAGUCA